rnacentral:rRNA from 1 species
GAUCCUGGCUCAGAAUCAACGCUGGCGGCGUGCCUAACACAUGCAAGUCGAACGAGAAAGUGGAGCAAUCCAUGAGUAAAGUGGCGCACGGGUGAGUAACACGUGACUAACCUACCCUGGAGUGGGGGAUAACUGAGGGAAACCUUAGCUAAUACCGCAUAACACCUACGGGUCAAAGGAGCAAUUCGCUUCAGGAGGGGGUCGCGGCAGAUUAGCUAGUUGGCGGGGUAAUGGCCCACCAAGGCAGUGAUCUGUAUCCGGCCUGAGAGGGCGCACGGACACACUGGAACUGAAACACGGUCCAGACUCCUACGGGAGGCAGCAGUGGGGAAUUUUGCGCAAUGGGGGAAACCCUGACGCAGCAACGCCGCGUGGAGGAUGAAGCCCUUCGGGACGUGAACUCCUUUCGAUCGGGACGAUUAUGACGGUACCGAGAGAAGAAGCCCCGGCUAACUUCGUGCCAGCAGCCGCGGUAAUACGAGGGGGGCGAGCGUUGUUCGGAAUUAUUGGGCGUAAAGGGUGCGUAGGCGGUUUGGUAAGUCUUAUGUGAAAUCUACAGGCUCAACUUGUAGUCUGCAUGAGAAACUGCCGGGCUUGAGUAUGGGAGAGGUGAGUGGAAUUCCUGGUGUAGCGGUGAAAUGCGUAGAUAUCAGGAGGAACACCUGUGGCGAAAGCGGCUCACUGGACCAU